CCUACGGGCGGCAGCAGUGAGGAAUCUUGGUCAAUGGACGAGAGUCUGAACCAGCCAAGUAGCGUGAAGGAUGACUGCCCUAUGGGUUGUAAACUUCUUUUAUAUGGGAAUAAAAUGUUCAACGUGUGGGUUUUUGUUUGUACCAUAUGAAUAAGGAUCGGCUAACUUCGUGCCAGCAGCCGCGGUAAUACGGAGGAUCCGAGCGUUAUCCGGAUUUAUUGGGUUUAAAGGGAGCGUAGGUGGAUUGUUAAGUCAGUUGUGAAAGUCUGCGGCUCAACCGUAAAAGUGCAGUUGAAACUGGCAGUCUUGAGUACAGUAGAGGUGGGCGGAAUUCGUGGUGUAGCGGUGAAAUGCUUAGAUAUCACGAAGAACUCCGAUUGCGAAGGCAGCUCACUGGACUGCAACUGACACUGAGGCUCGAAAGUGUGGGUAGCAAACAGGAUUAGAUACCCUUGUAGUC
rnacentral:rRNA from 1 species